GAUGAACGCUAGCGGCAGGCCUAAUACAUGCAAGUCGGACGGGAUCCAUCGGAGAGCUUGCUCGAAGAUGGUGAGAGUGGCGCACGGGUGCGUAACGCGUGAGCAACCUACCUCUAUCAGGGGGAUAGCCUCUCGAAAGAGAGAUUAACACCGCAUAAUAUAAUUUCCCGGCAUCGAGGAAUUAUUAAAUAUUUAUAGGAUAGAGAUGGGCUCGCGUGACAUUAGCUAGUUGGUAGGGUAACGGCUUACCAAGGCGACGAUGUCUAGGGGCUCUGAGAGGAGAAUCCCCCACACUGGUACUGAGACACGGACCAGACUCCUACGGGAGGCAGCAGUAAGGAAUAUUGGUCAAUGGGCGGAAGCCUGAACCAGCCAUGCCGCGUGCAGGAUGACUGCCCUAUGGGUUGUAAACUGCUUUUGUCCAGGAAUAAACCUAGAUACGUGUAUCUAGCUGAAUGUACUGGAAGAAUAAGGAUCGGCUAACUCCGUG
rnacentral:rRNA from 1 species